UCUGCCUGGUAGUGGGGGACAACGUUUCGAAAGGAACGCUAAUACCGCAUACGUCCUACGGGAGAAGCAGGGACCUUCGGGCCUUGCGCUAUCAGAUGAGCCUAGGUCGGAUUAGCUAGUUGGUGAGGUAAUGGCUCACCAAGGCGACGAUCCGUAACUGGUCUGAGAGGAUGAUCAGUCACACUGGAACUGAGACACGGUCCAGACUCCUACGGGAGGCAGCAGGG
rnacentral:rRNA from 1 species